rnacentral:rRNA from 1 species
AAGAAGCGAAGCGGUGACGUGGAGCAAACCUCAGAAAAGCCAAUCUCAGUUCGGAUUGUAGGCUGCAACUCGCCUACAUGAAGUUGGAAUCGCUAGUAAUCGCGAAUCAGAAUGUCGCGGUGAAUACGUUCCCGGGUCUUGUACACACCGCCCGUCACACCACGAGAGUUUACAACACCCGAAGUCAGUGGCCUAACCGCAAGGAGGGAGCUGCCUAAGGUGGGGUAGAUGAUUGGGGUGAAGUCGUAACAAGGUAGC